AUGUUAUUGCAAAGCUCUUAUCUGUUAUCUAUCAUUCAGGCCUGUCACCUCCGCAUUCCUUUCAUAUAUGAUGAUGAUCAUUCCAAAAUCCCAAACCAUUACUCGCGUCAAAGUGGAAUCGAGACAAGUUCAGUUUGCACACACAUGUACAUAUAUACGUACUAUAUAACAACAGAAUAUGCACAUUCUGGUGUUAUCUAUCCUGCAUAUUCUGCAAUGCAUUGUGUGCCAGAGCUGUGCGUUGAAAGAACGGAACUACAUACACCACAUUUUCAAGACCCGAGUGCUGAAACAAAAUCAAAGUGA
rnacentral:rRNA from 1 species